GUCACUAUUCAUAUUUUGUAAAAAAUUUUGGAAGUAAACAAGGCCUUGGUUUCACAACCAUUUUAAAUCAUUUUUUGUACUCUUUAAUUGCUAAAAUGUAGAAAUAUUCCAUACCGACAACGUUCAUUUUCUAUAUUGUAAUUUCGUUUUCAACCAUUUUCGACCGUUUUCAUCCUUAUGAGAUCCAUGCGGGAUUUGUUUGUUUGGCGACGCAUGCGACACAACGCUGUGUUCCUGCCAUGGGGAUCAUCGAUCGCCACCAAAAGCGUGCAGCGCUUGCGGAUGCGGAUACGCUUCGGCAACCCAACUGAAAGACUGUUUCUUCCUUAUGUCUGUAGCAUAUGAGAACUUCAGAAUUAUUUAGUGUAUUAUCCCUGAUAUAUGAGGUCGUUUUGAUCUCCUGUGAUUAAGAAUUUAGUAUUAGUUUUUUGGGCUUCCUGCAAUUAAGGAUGGACAAGUUUUUGUUUUCUCUCUAUCUACGGCACUGGAUCUGGGAUGCAUGUAUAUUUGUGGUGGUCUUGGCUUCGAUAACCUUAGCUUAUCAUCCCUUUGUGUCAUGUAUUAACACACUCUUUCUACUUAAUGAAAAACAGGUCUUGGCGAGAUCAUUUAAAAAAAAAUCAGGAAGGCAAGUAUACUCAGAAACAGUGGCGAAGCUAUAGCAAAUUCGAGAGGGUUGCAGCUGCCUUGUAGAUGCAUAAUAACUAUAGUGGAAUUUCAAUCCUAUUCACUGAUAUUCAAAAUGGGUGCAUCCGCAUCCACGACCUUACACGUAGCUUCGCCACUACUCAGAAACCAUCGGGUCCGAACGGCUGAAACCGAUGAUCGUGCCAAACAGGAGCGCGGGAAGGUGCGUGCGGGUGGGAGCCGAGCGUGGGAAGCGCGUGCCAGCAGGUGCUGAGCACGGGAGUAGUCCAAUCUUAGUACGUAUUCUCUCUAUAUCCAUAAAGAGAGUCGUUUAGGAUAACAACAUGGUCUCCAAAGUCUAACUUUGACUCCUUGUUUUUAUAAAAAUAUUUAUCAAAAACUAGUAUAUGAAUAUUUUUUGAAAGUAUUUUUAAGACAAAUCUAUUCGUAUGGUUUUCACAUUUCUAAACUCACCAACUUAAAAGUUAUUCAUGAUUUAUAUUCUCAAUAUUUAACCCAAAUCUUGUCCAAAACGACUUUUUUAUGGUUAUGGAGGGAGUAUACGACAGAUUCUCUUCUAGUUUCCCUUUUUUUCCUUCUAUUCUUCUUCUUUAUUUUCUUUUUUCUUUUCUUUUCUUUUUAUUUUCUUUUCUAUCUCCUUUUGUGCUUCAUUUUUCAUUUUUAUUUCCUUUUUUGUUUUAUGUGACUUUUUAUUAUUUUUAUAUGUUUUAUGUUUCUUUUAUUCCUUUCCUUUUCUUAUUACUUAUUAUUUUAAAUUUAUUUUUUAUUCUGAUUUUUCAUUUCAACAUUUAUAUUAUUUAUUUUUAUUUUUGUUUGCUUUUACUAUAUUAAUUAUUUUGUUUGUCUUAUUUUAUUUUAUUUUUAUAUUUUAUUAUUUUUGUUUUUCUUUCCUCUUUGUAUUUAUGUUUUCUAUACAUUUUUUAUUUUUAUUUUUCUAUUUUACCUUGUAUUACAUCUAUGGUAUUUUUUUGAUGUUUAUUUAGUACACAUGUGAUGUUUUAUGUUGUAUUUAGUGAUAUCCACUUAAUAUAUAUAUAUACACGGUGUUCUAUAAUGUAUUGAUUGAUGUUCUAUAGUGUAUUUAGUGAUGUUAUUUUACUCCACAUGUGGUGUUCUAUGAUGUAUUUAGUGAUGCUCACGUAAUAUAUAUGUUAUGUUCUAUAACAUAUUUAGUGGUGUUCUAUGUUGUAUUUAGUGAUGUUCAUUUUAUUACACAUGUGAUGUUCUAUAGUAUAUUUUUAGGAUUUUGAAAAGUAUCCAUAUUCUCUAUCACGUGUUUUUUUAUCUUUCCCUAUGCUUUUCUCUAUAUUUUUUAAUUUACGUUAUGCAUUUAUUUAUUUAUUUAUUUAUUUAUUUAUUUAUUUAUUUAUAUGUAUUAUAUAAUAUCAAUUUUAUGAAUCUAAAACUAGAACAUUGUUCAUCUAAAUUGAGAACAUUUUUCUUACAAAGAUGGAACAUUUAUUCUCUGAAUGUAGAACAUUGUUUUUGCUCAGUAAAAGAAACUAUUCUAUCUUUAUAAGAUAAAUGUUCGUUAAUAAAAUUUCAUCUAAAUAUAUACAUAUGAGAUCUUGUUUAGAAGAAUUUAUUAUAAGGAACAUAAUGGUGUAAUCAGAUUUUAAUUUAGAUAUUUAGUUUAGAAGUUAUGACUUUUUAAAAUUUGUUGAUAAAAGUAAAGAACAUAUGCGGCCUUGUUUAGUUCUAAAAUUUUUGAAAAAAUCGACACUGUAGCACUUUCGUUUGUAUUUAACAAAUAUUGUUCAAUCAUAGGCUAACUAGGCUCAAAAGAUUCGUCUCGUCAAAUCCAACCAAACUGUGCAAUUAGUUUUUAUUUUCGUCUAUAUUUAAUACUCCAUGCAUACGUCUAAAUAUUCGAUAUGAUAGAGAAUCUGAAAAAUUUUGCAAAAUUUUUUAGGAACUAAACAAGGCCCGAAUGGAGUGGGUUCUGCGGGAUGGACAGCCUGUGCUAUCUGUCUGCACGUGCGCUACUUCUAUGAAUACUGUCGACGAAAGCUAGUCGGCAGUCUACCCUGGGGUAUACCCAUGGUAGUAGUUUAUCGGUAGACGGUGCGCAAGCUACGAACUCGAUGGUGACGCAAGACACAGACAAGGUUUUUAUCCAGGUUCGGCUGCCUUGUGGGCGUAAUACCUACGUCCUGCGUCUGAUUGUAUUGGAUUGUGUUGAUAGAAUAAUGUGUCUAUGACCUGUCCUCUAGGGGACCCCUACCCCUCCUUAUAUAUCCUGAAGGGACAGAGUUACAAGCAAAGUAUCCUAUUUGGUACAAUAUCUUGUAGCCUUGCGGUGCACGCCGACCAGUCGUGCGCCGCACGUCUUCAUCCUGUGGGCCGAGCCACCUCUGAUGGUGCGGCCCAUAUAGGCACAUGAGGGUAUAGGGGUUUAUACCCCCACAGCUAGUCCCCGAGCACCUUGUAUUGUGAUGUAACACGCCGUCUUGAGCUUCUUCGAUCAGUGAGGCUUGACGUCUUCAAUAAGUAGGAAAGUCGCCCAAACAGUUGCAACGGUAUUUUGACCAACUCAAAAGACAGUUGAUCAACAUUGACAUCGAAGAAGCAGGUUGUUCGAAGAAUGCAUGGUGCUCUUAAUUAAAAAAGAUUUCUUUUCUGGUGAAGUGUGCCCACUUUACUUUUCUGAAAAGUAUAGACCUCAAAAAAGCAAGCAUAUUCACCGCAAGAUGAAGUGUGCCCACUUAGUCCCCGAGCCUGGUAGUAGGUGACGUAGGCACGUGGUGUCAGGGUCUAAAAAGAAAAUCAUAGAAAUUCUAAAACUGAGAUGCAUCGCCAGAUGCAUCGUAGCGAUGUAGUCCCUGAGCUUGCUGGAAGGCGAAGUAUGAGCCUUGUAGCAAGGUCUAAAAAAUUGAAUUUACCAGUCCCCGAGCAUAUCAUGCUCGUCUGCAAUUGAAUAGACUAAUCGACCAGUCCCCGAGCAUAUAACGCUCGGUGGUCGGUACAGUCCCCGAAUUAUCAAAUUGGUGGGCUGGUCGACCAGUCCUCGAGCGUAUAGUGCUCGGUGGUCGGUGCAGUCCCCAAACUCUCAAAUUGGUGAGCUGGUCGACCAGUCCCCGAGCGUAUAGUGCUCGGUGGUCGACAUAGUCCCCGAGCACGGCGUAGGGACCGGUGGACAAGUCCCCGAGCGUGGUUGGGAACGUAAACGUGCUCGGUGGUCGGCACAGUCUUCGAGCACAGCAUAGAGAGUAGUCGACAAGUCUCCGAGCGUGGUUGGGAACGUAAACGUGCUCGGUGGUCGGAGCAGUCCCCGGGCACAGCGUAGGGAAUAGUCGACGAGUCCCCGAGCGUAGCUUGUCGACUGGGCCAAACUUCUGAAAAAUAAAUAUAAAGAAUAGGUAGUACAUGAUGUAUAAAUAAACUUUAGAUAAAAAAUCAGCACUGAGAUAAGUUUUAGAUUUUUUAUUAUAAAAUUAGCACGAGUAGUUAAUUCAUCCUAGAGCUUGUACCAGCUCUGGUCUAGCCAACAAUCAGCAUGAGAUGCGGAACCUAGGCACGCGUAGAAUUGUCAGCCACGUCAGAGAGCUACUGCCGACCACCCGAAACACAGAGGGCGGAUCUCGUGCACGUGUAGGGAGGAGUCGGAGACAGUACCGACUCUGGAAAGCUCGUGUAGGAGAAAAAAACUAGUCGGCUAAAAAAAGUUGUUUUAAGAAAAUAAUAAUAUUAAAAAUAUUAUACCAAAAAUAAAUAAGAUAUUAGAAGUGUACUUAUCUUUGGACGAAAGUCUGGUCGGUGACGACAAAAUGGUCUGGCCCUCGAGCUUUUGGACUUGUUGUCGUGACGGUGGUCGCGGUUGUCGUAGCGCCGUUCUUCGCGGCGAUUAUUAUUGCGACUCGUGGUCAGAGCAAGUAGGCCAAACAACUUGGUUGAUAACCUGACCAGGUCGAUGUCGUCGAUCUGCCUCUCUUUGUAGUAGAGACGCAGGUGACGCAUCGUCGGCGUGGUCGGAGACGUUGGUGGAGUAGUCGGAGUCGUCGCCAGCGUGGUUAGAGCCGCCGCCGACGUCGAUGAAGAGGUGGUUGGUGCAGAUCGGAUCUACACCUCCUCCGUGGUCGUGGCGGUGAAGCUGUUAAAGCUGACGAUGAACGUGAAGCCGCCCGCCAUGGCCGCGAAGUCGGGGAUGAUGGCCAUCUUGUUCGUCGGGAGAGCUGUACGCACACCCCCUACCUUGCGCGCCACUGUCGACGAAAGCUAGUCGGCAGUCUACCCUGGGGUAUACCCACGGUAGUAGUUUAUCGGUAGACGGUGCGCAAGCUACGACUCGAUGGUGACGCAAGACACAGACAUGGUUUUUAUCCAGGUUCGGCCGCCGUGUGGGCGUAAUACCUACGUCCUGUGUCUGAUUGUAUUGGAUUGUGUUGAUAGAAUAAUGUGUCUAUGACCUGUCCUCUAGGGG
rnacentral:lncRNA from 1 species